rnacentral:rRNA from 1 species
AACACAUGCAAGUCGAACGGUAACAUAGAGAAGCUUGCUUCUUUGAUGACGAGUGGCGCACGGGUGCGUAACGCGUAUACAAUCUGCCUCUUACAGGGGGAUAGCCUUUGGAAACGAAGAAUAAUACCCCAUAGUAUGUAGAUAUCGCAUGGUAAUUACAUUAAAGAUUUAUCGGUAAGAGAUGAGUAUGCGUCCUAUUAGCUAGAUGGUGUGGUAACGGCACACCAUGGCAACGAUAGGUAGGGGCCCUGAGAGGGGGAUCCCCCACACUGGUACUGAGACACGGACCAGACUCCUACGGGAGGCAGCAGUGAGGAAUAUUGGACAAUGGGCGAGAGCCUGAUCCAGCCAUGCCGCGUGCAGGAAGACUGCCCUAUGGGUUGUAAACUGCUUUUAUACGGGAAGAAACCCACCUACGUGUAGGUGGCUGACGGUACCGUAAGAAUAAGCAUCGGCUAACUCCGUGCCAGCAGCCGCGGUAAUACGGAGGAUGCAAGCGUUAUCCGGAAUCAUUGGGUUUAAAGGGUCCGUAGGUGGACAAUUAAGUCAGAGGUGAAAUCCUGCAGCUCAACUGUAGAAUUGCCUUUGAUACUGGUUGUCUUGAAUUAUUGUGAAGUGGUUAGAAUAUGUAGUGUAGCGGUGAAAUGCAUAGAUAUUACAUAGAAUACCAAUUGCGAAGGCAGAUCACUAACAAUAUAUUGACACUGAUGGACGAAAGCGUGGGGAGCGAACGGGAUUAGAUACCCCGGUAGUCCACGCCGUAAACGAUGGUCACUAGCUGUUCGGAUUUCGGUCUGAGUGGCUAAGCGAAAGUGAUAAGUGACCCACCUGGGGAGUACGUUCGCAAGAAUGAAACUCAAAGGAAUUGACGGGGGCCCGCACAAGCGGUGGAGCAUGGUGGUUUAAUUCGAUGCACGCGAAGAACCUUACCUGGCUAAUCAUAGUGAAAUAGCUAGAAAUAGCUAUGCCUCGGGCCGCUAUGGAGGUGCUGCAUGCCUGUCGUCAGCUCGUGCGUGAGGGUGUUGCUUUAGGUGGCGCAAACGAGCGCAACCCUGUGUGACCUAAGGUUA